GAUGAACGCUGGCGGCGUGCCUAAUACAUGCAAGUCGAACGCAUUGAGAGAAGUGCUUGCACUUUUCAAUUUGAGUGGCGAACGGGUGAGUAACACGUGGGCAACCUACCUGAUAGCGGGGGAUAACGAGUGGAAACAUUCGCUAAUACCGCAUAACAAUAGAGAAGGCAUCUUCUUUAUUUAAAAGGCGCUUUCAAGCGUCACUAUCAGAUGGGCCCGCGGUGCAUUAGUUAGUUGGUGGGGUGAAGGCCUACCAAGACGAUGAUGCAUAGCAGAGUUGAGAGACGGAUCGGCCACAUUGGGACUGAGACGCGGCCGAAACUCCUACGGGAGGCUGCAGUAGGGAAUCUUCCACAAUGGACGAAAGUCUGAUGGAGCAACGCUGCGUGUGUGAUGAAGGCUUUCGGGUCGUAAAGCACUGUUGUAUGGGAAGAAAUGCUAGGCUAGGAAAUGAGCUUAGUUUGACGGUACCAUACCAGAAAGGGACGGCUAAAUACGUGCCAGCCGCCGCGGUAA
rnacentral:rRNA from 1 species